rnacentral:rRNA from 1 species
AUGCGUGGCGGUGACGGGAGGACCAUCAGAAGAAGAGGAGGAUGGGGAACAGGGAAGGAGGCCAAGCGGGGGAGGAGAGACAUGAAGCAUUCAUUUCCUGCCGUUUCUCCAGGUGCCUCCAUCGCUAUCAAUCUCGCAUCGAGAUGUCGACGGCAAUUCCAUCAUACCCGGUGUGAAGAAAUAAGUGCGGACAAUCUAAUACCAAAGGACUUGGCCCUCAAAAUUGCAACCAAGAUUAGAGCUGGCGAACGAUUUGCAGUUUAUGUAGUCAUACCAAUGUGGCCUGAAGGAAUCCCUACCUCAGCCUCUGAGCAAGAUUUUUUUCUUUUAGGCACAUUCAGGCAUGAUGGGUUCCGGUCCACUCUUCUGGCAAGACCCUCCUGGUGA